rnacentral:lncRNA from 1 species
UAGUGGCAAAAUAAGAGCUGGCUGCUCUGAAAUGUUAAGCUAAUGGGAGAUGAUGUGAUAAAUGACCUUUUUUUUUUUUUUUUUCCUCCACAAAAAAAAAGAAAAUAUGGGUGCAGGGGGUCACAGCUAAGUGUCUGGAAGAUGCUCUCCAUCAGCCAGAGGUCUCCUGACCCACACUUAAAACAGGAAUGGUCUGUUCGGAUUAAGCUAUUGACAACUAUUGUGCUAAAAGAAUAGCAAGAAAUAUUCUUUCUGUCCUCUUGUCCUAGCCUGAAGGUAGAGCCUUUUUAAGUAGCUAUCCUCUCUGCUUUGUGGAUGGCCUCAGCAUAUAUGCAUGCACAGGAAGCCUGACUGCCCUGGCAAGUGCAAAUUUAGGGGGGCCUGAAAUACAGUGUUGCAGCCAAUAACAUUUUCAUGUUAUUUUCCAUGUAUUGCAGGAGUCUUGAGUCUGAGCCAUUCCUAUGGACAGUCCUGUUCUUUUCCACCUGCUCUGAACUGAACAACUUAAGGCUAAGGAGCAUUUGCAGCAGCAUGAGCUUUGUGAAGCAGCAGGGCUGUUUCUCCUUGUCUGCUCACCAUGGAUGGAGCUUUUUUUUUUUUUUUUUUCUCUUGAGCAGACCUGCCAGGAUGGUUCAAUAUGUGUGACAUCCUAUCUGGACCCUGAAGCAGCCCCUUAUUUUGUUUCACCUUGCAAGUGGGGACUGUGGAUAUCAUCCAGUCAUGAAUCACAGCUUUGUGAAAUGAAAUGAAGAGAAUAAGCUGGAGCAACUGGAGCGUGUGUGGGUUGUUAUCUGCACAAGCAAUAGAAGCUGGGCUAGACAUCUCCUAUUCAUGAGCUAUCAUCCAGCAUGAGCUCAGUUUGUAGAGCAACCCACAGGGCGUUGCUUUUGGCCUGAGGGAGCUGUGAGCCACAGCUUCUUCCAGCCCUCAUUACAGAUAUGCCUGUGCUGCAAAAGGUAGAGCAGUGAUGCACGUUACCCUUCUGUAAUAAGUGGCUGUAGAUCCUGCCUUGUCUGUCCAUUUUCUAUUGCACGUUUUCCAUGGAAAAAGCAGAGCCACGGCCCAGGGCAUGCUCAAAAAUUUCUCUGGAAGAGAAGCUGUCCUGGAUUCUGCCAUAACAAUGGCUAUUUUCAGACUGAUUUUCUUCCCCUGGUGAGAAGGGAGAAAAAGUGACGUUUUAAUGAUUCACUUUAUUGAUGGGUCUGAAUGUUUAUUGUUGUUUUAACUAUCAAAACAUACAGAGGCUGGAAUCUAUCCAGAG